CCUACGGGAGGCAGCAGUGGGGAAUAUUGGACAAUGGGCGAAAGCCUGAUCCAGCAAUGCCGCGUGAGUGAUGAAGGCCUUAGGGUUGUAAAGCUCUUUUACCAGGGAUGAUAAUGACAGUACCUGGAGAAUAAGCUCCGGCUAACUCCGUGCCAGCAGCCGCGGUAAUACGGAGGGAGCUAGCGUUGUUCGGAAUUACUGGGCGUAAAGCGUGCGUAGGCGGUGACUCAAGUCAGAGGUGAAAGCCUGGAGCUCAACUCCAGAACUGCCUUUGAAACUAGGUCGCUAGAAUCACGGAGAGGUGAGUGGAAUUCCGAGUGUAGAGGUGAAAUUCGUAGAUAUUCGGAAGAACACCAGUGGCGAAGGCGGCUCACUGGACGUGUAUUGACGCUGAGGCACGAAAGCGUGGGGAGCAAACAGGAUUAGAUACCCUGGUAGUCCACGCCGUAAACGAUAGAUAACUAGCUGCCAGGGCUCUUAGAGUCUUUGGUGGCGCAGCUAACGCAUUAAGUUAUCCGCCUGGGGAGUACGGUCGCAAGAUUAAAACUUAAAGGAAUUGACGG
rnacentral:rRNA from 1 species